rnacentral:rRNA from 1 species
CCUACGGGUGGCAGCAGUGGGGAAUAUUGCACAAUGGGGGAAACCCUGAUGCAGCGACGCCGCGUGAGUGAAGAAGUAAUUCGUUAUGUAAAGCUCUAUCAGCAGGGAAGAAAAUGACGGUACCUGAGUAAGAAGCCCCGGCUACCUACGUGCAAGCAGCCGCGGUAAUACGUAGGGGGCAAGCGUUAUCCGGAUUUACUGGGUGGAAAGGUAGCGUGGACGGCAGUGCAAGUCUGGAGUGAAAGGCGGGGGCGCAACCCCCGGACUGCUCUGGAAACUGUACGGCUGGAGUGCAGGAGAGGUAAGUGGAAUUCCUAGUGUAGCGGUGAAAUGCGUAGAUAUUAGGAGGAACACCAGUGGCGAAGGCGGCUUACUGGACUGUAACUGACGUUGAGGAUCGAAAGCGUGGGGAGCAAACAGGAUUAGAUACCCGGGUAGUC